ensembl:lncRNA
GUGUUUGUCACUUUAAGACCCUCAGCAUGAAGACCCUGAGAGUAAUUAUAGCUGAGGGUUUACAGCUAAAUGCCACCGCAAUUACAGACCUUGCAGACAUCUGAGAGAGCAGCACACGGACAGGAUUAGGAAACUGAUGUCCUGCAAAAAUCCCUGCAGCAACAAUCACCCCAGACCCUCUGUGACCCACAGCCCACCUCACAUACAGAGCCGUGGACCUGCUGGAGAACCACACACUGCAGCCAAAUGGAGUGGAGAGAGAGAAGCAGCAGAACUGAGGGAGGAGAGAGGAACUGGAGAUGCAGGAGAAAGACCAAAACCACCACCCAGGAGACGGCAGUGUGGAGUUAAAUAUCCAGCCUCCAGUACUGGUUCCAGUGAAACCUGUAGGUCCAGAGAACACCCAUGGGUGGAGCUGAUUCAGCCCGGCCCCUGGGCUAAGCUACCCCCAGCACCACCUCCUGUACCGCCGCCUCGCCCCACCUCCAUCCCCUCUCUAAACAAGUUGUGGCUGCACCACUGGGCCUCGCCCUCCAACCCUUUUGACGAAGAGGAGGAAAACGAAGGGAUAGAAGAUGAUGGGAUUUUUAAGAUGUCUGUCAUGGGGUCCAGCCAAUCAAUGUGCAGUUCCAGUCCUCUAGAGAAUGUUGUUUCUAAUGAUAAACAGGACUUUAGAGCAGUAGGAGUUUUAGAAAUGACAGAAUUGGAUAUUUAUAGUGUUGAUGAUUUUCAUAUGUCUCAAUUAGGCAGCCUUAGUCUACAUGUUCCAGAAGCUUCUGAUUGGAAUGGAGUUGUUAGCUUUGUUGAUUCAGAGUUUUCAGAAACACGAUUAUCAAGAUUAAAGAACGGUUUAAACACUGACAGUUCUGACAUUUCUAAACCAGAUGAAGCUUUAGAUUCUAAAUUUGAAGAGCAGGUCAUAGAUACAGCUGCUGUUUAUUCUGACUGUGCUGUAGAAAAGCACAGUUUAACCCAGUCCUCAGGUAAUUCACCUCCAGUAGUUUGUUCAUGUUUAGCACUGGAUUCUAAUAGAAAAGCCACACGUAGCCCAACUCAGGCUAAGUGCAGUGUAGCAGACAUUAGCAGUGUGGCUAAUAUAGCCCACGCAUGCAGCAACUCUGCUAUAUCAGGUUUAGCUAAGAAUGCUCCUAAUUUAGCUUCAGAGAUAUAUAGCUCUGAAGAGACUGAUCCCUCUCAGUGUAGCACUAAGCUUACGAAUGCAUCAGCCAAUCACAACCCUUGUAUCACCAGAAGCCCCACCCCAUCAAAUAUCCCACUUAAUAAAGUGAGAGCAGGUUAUCCACUGUCUUCCUCAUCCUCCUCUUCACCUUCUCAUACAAAGGUUGAUGGUUCUCUGGCGGUAGAGGAGCAGCAGAGGCAGCAGAGGGUGCUGGAGGACAGAAUGCUGCAGAUGGAGAGAAGAAAAGAGGAGCUUCAGAAGGAGAUUGAAGACUGCACAACUGAGGAGCAGGAGGCAGAGAUGAUGGUGGACUGGUUGAUGCUCAUACAGGAGAAACACACACUGGUGCACAGAGAUGUUGAACUGGUGUAUAUGUGAGUAGACACACACACACACUCAGUCUCUUUCUUGCUCCCUCUCUCUCUCUCUCUCUCUCUCUCUCUCUCUCUAUUCAAUUCAAUUCAAGGUACUUUAUUGGUAUGACAAAUAGUGCUACAUUUGUGUUGCCAAAGCCUGAGUUACACAGUUUUAA